rnacentral:rRNA from 1 species
UCAGGACGAACGCUGGCGGCGUGCUUAACACAUGCAAGUCGAACGAUGACGGAUGGUGCUCGCACCGUCUGAUUAGUGGCGAACGGGUGAGUAACACGUGAGUAACCUGCCCUCCUCUUCGGGAUAACCGCCGGAAACGGUGGCUAAUACCGGAUAUGAAUGUCUGCCGCGAUGGUGGGUGUUGGAAAGAUUUAUCGGUGGGGGAUGGACUCGCGGCCUAUCAGUUUGUUGGUGAGGUAAUGGCUCACCAAGGCGAUGACGGGUAGCCGGCCUGAGAGGGCGACCGGCCACACUGGGACUGAGACACGGCCCAGACUCCUACGGGAGGCGGCGGUGGGGAAUAUUGCACAAUGGGCGAAAGCCUGAUGCAAGCGACGCCGCGUGGGGGAUGACGGCCUUCGGGUUGUAAACCUCUUUCAGCAGGGAAGAAGCGAGAGUGACGGUACCUGCAGAAGAAGCGCCGGCUAACUACGUGCCAGCAGCAGC